ACCUACAUACAUACCUGUUGAACACUGCCCAUCCCAUCAGCACUGGGCACAUAAGCAACAUUGGGCACAUAAGCAACAUUGGGCCAGAUCAGUAGUACGGUGGGGGACCACGUGCGAACCCCUGGUGACGAUCUGUU
rnacentral:rRNA from 1 species